AGGACUUUGCCGAGCGUCGGGCUCCGCGCGGGGCUGAGUCGGGCCAGCGGGUACUUUCGAGGGCUUCUCUACAGCCAGGGACUGAUGCCCUUGGCCAUGACACACCCCCAGCUGCUGUCCACUCAGCCACAGCCUGCGUGACUGGGUCGUCGCUGCUCCAGCCAUUUCACGUCACCGUUCCCUUUAUGAACAGUUUGAUGGGGCGUCGGGCGGAUGACAGCGGGAACGGUUGUGAUCACUGGCGGAAUCCUAGCGACGGUCAUCCUCCUCUGCAUCAUCGCCGUGCUGUGCUACUGUAGGCUCCAGUAUUACUGUUGCAAGAAGAGCAGAGCCGAGGAUGCGGACGACGAGGAGGAGGAGCACGACCUGCCCACACACCCCCGAGGCCCCCCCUGCAAUGCCUGCAGCUCCCAAGCCCUGGACGGCCAAGGCGGCCUGGCACCUCUCCCCAGCGAGCCCUGCGGCCAGCCGUGCGGGGUGGCCGCCAGCCACUGCACCACCUGCUCCCCAUACAGCUCCCCCUUUUACAUACGGACGGCAGACAUGGUGCCCAACGGGGGCGGAGGCGAGAGGCUCCCCUUUGCUCCCACAUACUACAAGGAGGGGGGCCCCCCAUCCCUCAAAGUGGCAGCACCCCAGAGUUACCCGGUGACGUGGCCAGGCUCUGGGCGUGAGGCCUUCACCAAUCCAAGGGCUAUUAGUACAGAUGUGUAACCCCUCUCACCCCCGACCCCCCCACACCGCAAGGCUACUGCCCCAGCAGGAGCCAUGGGGGCAGCAGAUGUCCCCUCCCACAGCCCACAAGGACCGGCUCUGUGUCUUGGCUUUCUUUGCCCCGCAGUGGAAGGCUCACCCAGAUUCAGGCAAUGGAGGGCAUGGAGAUCCAGGGCGGGGCCUGGCACAUCCCUUCGGCAGCUUGGCCAGUUUCUCUGUGGGCCGUUCCUCUGGCCAGUGCCAGCAUCACCGCAGCCCUCUCACUUCCCUCAGCCCCUGGCUGUGCCCGACUCCGGGAGGAGGAGCCCCCAGUGCAGCAGAGGCUCCGGAGCCUUCCAGAGAAGUUGGGGGAUGAAUGGAGAAAGGGCAAGAAGAGAGGCGAGAACGAAGACGUUGGCAGAAGGAGGGGGUUCAGAGGACCAGGACUUGCGAACUCAAAGCCAAGAGCAAGUUCACGGUCUGGUUUUGUGCCUCGGCUGUCACAGAGACGGCAGGCCCUGCAGCUGCUCCAGCACGGAUGUGCUUUCCUGAACACACCCCAUCUGCACCUGCCCCCGCCCCUGAUGGACCACGAUGACUGGGCUUUCAAGGUCAGGUUUAUAGGCAAUUUGCAGGGAAUGCCCCCCAAACGGCUGUUCUGUCUCCCCCACAAUCCUCUCUUCCCUGCCUUGGGAACCAGCUGCCCCGGCUGGAGAACCUUCUUUACAUUCUGUUCCUAGAGUUAGAGGGGCUUUGUGAGGGAGAGCCUGCGGGUGGUCUCCGGGGCCCUGGUCCGCCACACAAGCACUGUGCGUGGAUGCAGCUGUGCGUGUGCAUCCCCAGGUGUGUACACACACGCCUGUCCCCACCAGCACACCCCGGGGCUCUGCCGCCUCUGGGAGCCGCAGAAUAGAAGGGUCUCUGUGGACCAACUAGAGGGCAAAAUCCACCUGCAGACAGCAGGAGCGAAAGCUGACUAAGGUGGCGGCCCGUCCCCACCGCAAGCAGCUGGCUGGUACAGGAAGAGCCUGCGGCAUGUCCUGUGGGACAUGCUGCAGCCUUGAGGCCACGGAGGCCGCUCAGAGACCUGGUGUUCUGCGUGGGCAGCCUGCCCUAAGGCCGCAGAGCAGGACUGCUUUCUUCCACCAGAGACAGCAGCCCCCACUGCUGAGGAUUGAGGGACUCAAUUAGCGAUCAGAUCCCAUGCUUGCUGUCCUCCCUCCGCUGACCCAUUCCCCAGUCUCGGUCUAGGGCCAACUCACGGCUCUGUCACUCUAGCCCCAAGUCCAAUUCCCAGUUAGAACUCAGCUGUGGCCUUCUGCUGUUUGAGUACAUGCAUCUGAUGAGUUUUCCAGUUGCCUCUGCACUAAGGGGUGGCUGCCGCCCCCUUCUACAGGCAUUCGUCAUCCCCAGCCUCUCCUGAGUCACUGGAUGCUGCCGAGCGUGGCAGCAGGGGAGCUGGCCACUCUGCUGAAAUCUUGAUUUUGCAGUUGGGGUGGGGAUGGGGUGGGGCUGGAGGAGGGGAGGAGAAAGAGAACGCACCCCACUUUUGCCUCACUCUGGGUACUUGUCAUCUCUAUUCUCCAUCUGUGAUCAAGGCUCAGUGGGUUGGCAAUCAGCGGCCCUGGCAUCUGGUCACACGUGGGUCACUCAUGAGCUCUAGGACCAACCACUUACCUUCUGAGACCCCAUUUUCUCCAGGGAAAUGAGACUUGCCCAGACGGACUCUAAGGGCCCCUUAGGGCUUCACAAAGCCAGGAUCCCUGAAAAUUUCUGCCAGCCAGACCACUGUCUCUUGCCCUAACCCUGGCAGGGGCUGGACGUACUUGCCAACUGCCUGCUCCUAUGUGCAAGGAUGCGUGUUGAUGGAUAACAGAUCUACAGUAAAAUACAAGAUGAGCAGGCAACACAAUUGUAAUGGUCAGCAAAAAGCAAACGUGUUUGACCCUCCCGCUGAGGGACCUCAGAGGGUCACCCUUCUCUUCUACCAGGAGGCAGCUCUAGGUGGGGUGAUGAGCUCUGUCCCAGAGCCCAGAGGGACCAUCUCAGGACCGCAACUUUAACACGCCCCCUCCCGCUGCCAGCUCUUCCUGGGCUAAGCCCACCCUCUUGACGUGGACCUGGCUGCUCUCACCGCUUUGAUGACCAGCCCCAGUGCCUUGCUGCCCUGGCAUUCCACAGCCACACAACCACAGCAGGGGCUGCCCCUCCUCCCUGAAUGAUUAUGGUACCUCCUGCCUUGGGAAAAAUCAAGACCCGGUCAACUCUGACCCGCUCCUUGGCUCUGAUCUUUUGGGGUCCCCGAGUGAAAAGCAUUUCAUGCAACCCCAUCUCCUAUAGCUUUCCCAGCCUAAAUCAACCCACAAAUCAAAAAUCUGGAUUUGGGGCAUUGGAGCAAUGGUGACCACGGCUCUUUCCCGCCCCCUCCCUGCGAGCCCCACUUUGCUCAGGGCACAGGCUCAGGGUUGCCUGCCCACCUUCCUGUAACUGCAAGAGCCUUGCCCGUGGACAAGGAAGCUCACCCCCACUCAACAGCACUGUACUUAAGAGCCGCCGAGGCUAUGCUCUGGGACACUUUUUGGACACUUUUCAAAUUGCACCCUAAACAGGAAGAGGAGGGGCCGGGAACCCCAGGCUCUCUCUGCCUUUUCUCUCCACCUCCACUUCAGUGCUCCUGCUACAAAUUUCUUGUCCUGCAUCUUUGAUAACUUGGAGUCACAACCAAGCGAAUGUCAAAAUAAAGAAGGAAUUUGACAUAGAAAUCCCCCAGGGGCCUCUGUUCUUCACCUGGGGAAGGGGCAGCUGGGCAUAGACUUAAGAGGGAAUGCCCCUUCUCAUCACCCAAAAUGUGCAUUUUCAAACCCAGCUCUACCUGCCUCCUCUCCCUUCCUGCUUCCCUUCGCCGUGUAGCUCCCCACCCCACCACCCCUUGCCUCAGUGGGAGCUCACUUCCAGGAAGGAUGUGUCAUGUGUUGGGAAAGGCGAUUUGUGCAGCCACUGCUGCCCUCGGAGCUGGAAGGAGCCCAGCCGUGACAGGGAGCCUCCCUGGGGAGCAGCCUGCGCCCACCUCACCCUCACUGUCAGGUCCUGUGGUGUCCCCACCUGUAGUUGAUAGUUCAGGUCCUCAGCUCAGACCCCAGCAGAGAUGGGAGAGGUGGGGAAUGAGGACCAGAGAACCAGGAUGUAGGUUCUGGGUGAAAGGGAGGAGUUAGGAAGGAGGAGGGUGAAGGCAGGUGUGUGGUGCCGUGAGAGUAUGUGAGAGAAAGUGAUGCUCCCUCCCCAUCUCAGGACAAGGCGAGCCCUGACCACGGCUGACUGGACAGCAGGCCAGCUGGCCUGAGCAUCAACAUCCAGGCUUCCCGAGCUCAGGGUGCUCUGUCCCAAGCAGGAGACAGCCGGCUGCAGCUCUGUCACUAGUUGUCCCCUGCGAACAAAAGCCCCGAGGCAAAUUCUGUCAUCACUGGCAAGGACUCCAGCCUUCAGCCACCUCCUCCAUCCCCCACAGAGCAGCCACACUCUCCCCAGCCUUAAGUCAGCCUCUUCACUCUGUGGGGCCUCAGGCCACGUGGUGGGGCCACAGCCCUGCCCUGCAGAGUCCCUUUCUGAGAUAGCCCUGAGCACGCCCAGCCAUUUUCUACGCUCAAGUUUAGAAGCGCCGGAGUUCCCUGUGGCUCAGUGGGUUAAGGAUCUGGCAUUGUCACUGCUGUGGCUCUGGUUACAGCUGUGGCACAGGUUCCAUCCCUGGCCUGGGAAUUUCCACCUGCCGCAGGUGUGGCCAGAAAAAAUACUUUCAAGUGCUGCUCAGAGAAUACUGAUUACACCAUCAAUAUCUGAGGCCAAGCUUCUUGACCAAAGCAGCAGCAAGAAGAGUCAGAACCAAGAGUUCCCCCACCUCCGGCUCUACCUGCUCAGGAUGGAAAAGGCCCAAUCAUGGGCCCGACCUGGGCACGUCCUGGAUGACAGUAACCUCUCUCUCCCUCCUCAGCCUGGUCCAGGCUGCUCCUCUCCCCUCCCUGGUGGCCGUUCUGUCCACCUUAGUCCUUCAUCCCUGAAGCCCAUCCCUCCUCCACCGCCUAGCAUCUCCCUCCAUGGAGAAGCGAGUAGCCCCUAAAGGGUGCUGCCUGCCCCUCAGGCCUCCAGGCGCCUCUGUGAUGAUCCUCGGGGGCCUAGACCUUCGUGCCCAACAGCUGGUGCGGUGCUGGGCACCGCAGUAGUUGGGAACGAGCUGCUGGGCACAAAGCUGUCACCUCCUCGCUCCCUGUGACAUCCCAGCAGACACAGCAAUCUUUUUUUUUAAUUAUUCUAGAGCAUAGUGGAUUUACAAUGUUAUGUUAGUUUUAGGUAUACAGCACAGUAAAUCCGCUCUUUUGUUUUGUUUUGUCUUUUUGCCUUUUCUAGGGCCGCUCCUGUGGCAUAUGGAAGUUCCCAGGCUAGGGGUCCAAUCAGAGCUGUAGCCUCCGGCCUACGCCAGAGCCACAGCCACGCGGGAUCCGAGCCUCAUCUGCAACCUACACCACAGCUCACAGCAACGCCGGAUCGUUAACCCACGGAGCAAGGCCAGGGAUCGAACCUGCAACCUCAUGGUUCCUAGUUGGAUUCGUUAACCACUGAGCCACGACGGGAACUCCGUGAAUGAGUUCUAUUCAUACAUUCAUUCUUUCUUUCUCAGGCUCUUUUCCUGUAUAGGUUAUUACAGAAUAUUGAGUAGAUUUCCCUGUGCUUGACAGGAGGUCCUUGUUCGUUCUCUAUUUUAUAUCACCAUAUCACUUGUAUGUGGAAUCUAAUAAAAAAUGCUAAC
rnacentral:lncRNA from 1 species